AGCGAACGCUGGCGGCAGGCUUAACACACGCAAGUCGAGCGGGCACUUCGGUGUCAGCGGCAGACGGGUGAGUAACACGUGGGAACGUACCCUUUGGUUCGGAAUAACGCUGGGAAACUAGCGCUAAUACCGGAUACGCCCUUUUGGGGAAAGGCUUGCUGCCGAAGGAUCGGCCCGCGUCUGAUUAGCUAGUUGGUGGGGUAAUGGCCUACCAAGGCGACGAUCAGUAGCUGGUCUGAGAGGAUGAUCAGCCACACUGGGACUGAGACACGGCCCAGACUCCUACGGGAGGCAGCAGUGGGGAAUAUUGGACAAUGGGCGCAAGCCUGAUCCAGCCAUGCCGCGUGAGUGAUGAAGGCCUUAGGGUUGUAAAGCUCUUUUGUCCGGGACGAUAAUGACGGUACCGGAAGAAUAAGCCCCGGCUAACUUCGUG
rnacentral:rRNA from 1 species